CACGUAGGCGGACUGAUCAGUCAGGGGUGAAAUCCCGGGGCUCAACCCCGGAACUGCCUUUGAUACUGUCAGUCUAGAGAUCGAGAGAGGUGAGUGGAAUUCCGAGUGUAGAGGUGAAAUUCGUAGAUAUUCGGAGGAACACCAGUGGCGAAGGCGGCUCACUGGCUCGAUACUGACGCUGAGGUGCGAAAGCGUGGGGAGCAAACA
rnacentral:rRNA from 1 species